rnacentral:rRNA from 1 species
AGAGAUUGNUUCUGGNUNAGGAUGAACGCUGGCGGUCUGCUUAACACAUGNAAGUCGAACGGAGUACUUCGGUACUUAGUGGCGGACGGGUGAGUAACGCGUGAGGAUCUGCCCUCAGGAGGGGGACAACGACUGGAAACGGUCGCUAAUACCCCAUAUGCCGAGAGGUGAAAUGUUUUUUCGCCUGAGGAUGAGCUCGCGUCAGAUUAGCUAGUUGGUGGGGUAACGGCCUACCAAGGCGACGAUCUGUAGCUGGUCUGAGAGGAUGAUCAGCCACACUGGGACUGAGACACGGCCCAGACUCCUACGGGAGGCAGCAGUGGGGAAUUUUCCGCAAUGGGCGAAAGCCUGACGGAGCAAGACCGCGUGAGGGAUGACGGCCUAAUGGUUGUAAACCUCUUUUCUCUGGGAAGAUAAUGGACGGUACCAGAGGAAUAAGCCUCGGCUAACUCCGUGCCAGCAGCCGCGGUAAUACGGAGGAGGCAAGCGUUAUCCGGAAUUAUUGGGCGUAAAGCGUCCGUAGGUGGUUAAUCAAGUCAGCUGUUAAAGAGCGGAGCUCAACUCCGUUAGAGCGGUUGAAACUGAUUGACUAGAGUUUGGUAGGGGUCGAGGGAAUUCCCAGUGUAGCGGUGAAAUGCGUAGAUAUUGGGAAGAACACCGGUGGCGAAAGCGCUCGACUGGGCCUGAACUGACACUGAGGGACGAAAGCUAGGGGAGCGAAAGGGAUUAGAUACCCCUGUAGUC